UGGGGAAUAUUGCGCAAUGGGGGAAACCCUGACGCAGCAACGCCGCGUGCGGGAUGACGGCCUUCGGGUUGUAAACCGCUUUCAGCAGGGAAGAACAUCGACGGUACCUGCAGAAGAAGCCCCGGCUAACUACGUGCCAGCAGCCGCGGUAAUACGUAGGGGGCGAGCGUUAUCCGGAUUCAUUGGGCGUAAAGCGCGCGUAGGCGGGUGCCUAAGCGGGACCUCUAACCUCGGGGCUCAACCCCGAGCCGGGUCCCGAACUGGGCGCCUCGAGUGCGGUAGGGGAGAUCGGAAUUCCCGGUGUAGCGGUGGAAUGCGCAGAUAUCGGGAAGAACACCGAUGGCGAAGGCAGAUCUCUGGGCCGCCACUGACGCUGAGGCGCGAAAGCUAGGGGAGCGAACAGG
rnacentral:rRNA from 2 species